rnacentral:rRNA from 1 species
UACAGAGGGUGCGAGCGUUGUUCGGAAUUAUUGGGCGUAAAGCGCGCGCAGGCGGUCCUUUAAGUCUGAUGUGAAAGCCCACGGCUCAACCGUGGAGGGUCAUUGGAAACUGGGGGACUUGAGUACAGAAGAGAAGAGUGGAAUUCCACGUGUAGCGGUGAAAUGCGUAGAGAUGUGGAGGAACACCAGUGGCGAAGGCGACUCUUUGGUCUGUAACUGACGCUGAGGCGCGAAAGCGUGGGGAGCAAACAGG